rnacentral:rRNA from 1 species
CCAGACUCCUACGGGAGGCAGCAGUGGGGAAUAUUGGGCAAUGGGCGCAAGCCUGACCCAGCAACGCCGCGUGAAGGAAGAAGGCUUUCGGGUUGUAAACUUCUUUUGACAGGGAAGAGCAGAAGACGGUACCUGUCGAAUAAGCCACGGCUAACUACGUGCCAGCAGCCGCGGUAAUACGUAGGUGGCAAGCGUUGUCCGGAUUUACUGGGUGUAAAGGGCGUGUAGCCGGGCUUACAAGUCAGAUGUGAAAUGCGGGGGCUCAACCCCCGAACUGCAUUGGAAGCGGGAGGGCUUGAGUAUCGGAGAGGGAGGCGGGAGGCCGAGGGGGGCGGUGAAGUGCGUAGAUAUACGGAGGAACACCAGUGGCGAAGGCGGCCUGCUGGACAUUAACUGACGCUGAGGCGCGAAAGCGUGGGGAGCAAACAGGAUUAGAUACCCCUGUAGG